rnacentral:rRNA from 1 species
GACGUAGGGCGCGAGCGUUGUCCGGAUUUAUUGGGCGUAAAGAGCUCGUAGGCGGCUUGUUGCGUCGACCGUGAAAACCCGGGGCUCAACUUCGGGCUUGCGGUCGAUACGGGCGGGCUAGAGUUCGGUAGGGGAGACUGGAAUUCCUGGUGUAGCGGUGAAAUGCGCAGAUAUCAGGAGGAACACCGGUGGCGAAGGCGGGUCUCUGGAACGCAACUGACGCUGAGACGCGAAAGCGUGGGGAGCAAACAGG